CAUACGUACGUACAUACAUUCGUUUGUCGCUUAAUAAGAAUAACCCAACUAUUACAACGUCACCUUUAACAUAGUACGCAUUAAAAACAUCUAAUUUUGGCGAUCUGUGAUCGUUCGGAGAAUCUAACGCGUCUUCCGGAGCGUCUAAUCUGACCCCUUAACUGCGAUACAGGCGUCGGCCUUGGUGUUCGUGUCUAGGGCCUGUGCUCCUUCAACUGUAUCUGCGACUAUGUACGCUGGUUUUAACCAAUCGAUAGUGAUGAUCACCGACUUGCCUUUAAUUUCUAUGGUAAAGUUUUUGGACUUUUUCGCAACGAGUUGCGAACCGUACAGUUUCGAACGAAUACUUCAAUAGUCACUGCUAAAUCCUUAAGUAUAAAAAUUCGCUUCGCUCCAUGGUGACUACCCGGAGCUGGUGUAAUUCCACGGAAGUGUUGACACACUUCUUUGACAAAAUCGGCCACAUCGUGAUUUGUUUCGGUCGGCUGCAACGAUAGAAACUCGCCAGAUAGUCGCAGCGUCCCACCAUAUACUAGCUCUGCAGUCGUGGCCUUGACAUUUUCAUUCCAGGCAUCGUACUAGUAAAAUAGUAGGAAGAAUUUUCGUGCCUUUAAUUGGCUGCAAACGCUCCAUCAUACCGUUCGCUGCUGGGUGAUAUGCCGGUGUCCUUAAAUGUGAUGUACCUGUCAAGAUGCUUGAUUGCUUGAACAAGUACGGUUUAAACUGUCUCCCUUGGUCUGUUGCUACGCGCAAAAGAGUCCCGAAGAGCGUAAUCCAUCCCUCAUAAAAUGCUCGUGCGACCGCGGAAGCCUUUUGGUUUUUUAAGAGGAAUGCUUCUGGCCAUCGGGUGAAACGGUAGACACAGGUGACAGGUUACAAUACCUGUACCCCUCAGACAUUUCAACACUACGAUAUCUAUGUGUACGUGUUCGAACCUUACCAAGGAUAUGAAUUAUCCUGUUGGCGCAUGCACGGGUCUAGACACUUUGGAACGCUGGCACGGAAUGCACGCCAGCCCCCAACGUCUACAAUCAGCCUUUAUUGACAGCCGCAUGUACCGUUCCGUCAUUAAUUUUAUUGCUGCAUUAAUUCCGGGAUGCGUGAGCCUAUGUACAAUAUUAAAAUCGGUGCGCUGGAAUGAUUUUCUUAUGAAAGGUCUUAUCAAGGCUGUUGAUGCAUCACAAAAAACUACACUGUUUGUGCCGGGAAUUGCCACUUUCUUUAAACGUAACCUAAUCUCCGUUUCUUUUCGCAAAUACGCUCGGAGUUCUACAUGCGACUCCUGUGAUCCCUGUUAGUGUUUCAUAGUUAAGAAGUUCCUCCACUUCCUCAAUCCUGGACAAGGUAUCGGCCACAAUGUUGUCCUUACGGACCAAGUGACGGAUAUCGGUCGAAAAUUGUCCGGAAUUGACUGUUCUGGCUUUUGCUGAAAGGCGAAUACGAUCGGCUUAUAGUACAUAAGAAUCGUGAACGUACGACCCUCUAUCAUAUGCCUGAAAUGUUUAAUCGCGAGACAGAUGGCCAGCAGUUCUCUAUCAUAGGUUCCGUAAUUGGACUCGGCAGGGCUAAGCUUUUUUGAAAAAAAGCCCAACGGCUCCCAACCCUUGUCUGUGUUCUGUUGGAGGACUGCUCCAACGUUGAAUCCGAGGCGUCGCAGGUAUUCUCCCCAUCCAGAGUGAACACAGAACGUUAUUGGAGACUGUGGUCCCGACAGUCCUUUCAGAUACCGCAGAAACCAUGACGGUUCUCGAUCGCCGAUCUCUUUCGAUUCGAAGAGACGUCGGGUCUUCUGAACAAUCGUUGAAUGGCUGCUACUCGAUUUGCGACGAAGGUCUUCCACUGUCGCAAAUGUCCCUGUACCCAGCCCAGGGUAACCCGCAAGUCGAUCCACAGAUGUACUGGGACGUUUGGGCAUUGUAGAACCGCCAGGACAUGGGUGCAACCAUCGUCUUGGCUGCUUGUGGACGUGGCCAUCAACAUUGGUGUGGUGGACGUAAAUCACCGUCGCGUAGGCCACUUGAGACGCGUCCGUGAAGCCAUGAAGCUUGACCGUGGAGCUUGACUGGCUCUGAAGUGCAGUGCUAGCGCGGGACGAGGAGCCCAUCAAGCUGAGGAAGUUCUCGUGUAUACCUGGUCCAUUGUCUUGCCUUGCGCUCUGACAAUGGGCUGCCCCAGUCGCCCUUAACAAGUCAAAGUGAUUGUAAGAGGAUCUUAGCACUAAUGACGACGGGAGUCAACCAACCUGAGGGAUCCAAUAGACGCGCAGUCCGACAAAGUCUCUAUCCUCAGAGACAUCACAUCUUUAGUAGUAGACUACAG